CUGAUGGUGAGUUUGCCUGCGGGUACACCGGUGCUGGGAUCGUGUAUCGUCGGGACGACGAUUCAAAAAGCCGGGGAAAAAUGUAACAGGGCGCACUGUCUGUCCAGUAAGGUGUGUCCCUCAGCAGUUCCCAUACCCCAAUGACGUCACGGGACUCAGGUAGCCGCUCAGUGGCUAAUCCGUAAUUGGUGGCUAUGCCAUUGUUUUUAUAAAACCAGAUGAAUUAGACCGGCUCAUUGGAGCCUUCCCGGUGUGCGGGUAUUCGCUGAUGAUGCCCGGUGCCUUUGCUACGGGUGCAGCAAGGAGCCAGAGUUUCCGUGGCGUCUAACCCCAGUGGCUUCCCCUCCCUCUCAGUGUUGUCGAGACACCUCAGAGUACGUCGAGGGUCUGUCUCUGUGGGCAGACUGCUUGCGGCAGCUGCUCACCGCUGUUUUGCCCUUACGAAAUUGUUUAGCCUUUCUGUUUUGUUUGUUUCAUUUUCUUUUGCCUGUCCGCCGCUUUAGCUUGUCACUUGUCAUUGUACGGGGUUUGGCUGUCACAGUUCUAGGCCCAUGUACGCUGCUCUAGUCGGGCGGCCAUACAGUAGACUAGUAGUUUUGAGUGUGAUUAUACGGAUUUACUCUGUGUGUAGUGGAUAUCCACACGUAUUGUCAUUUAAUCACUUACAUAGCGUAGUGAGCCUAUGCGCGUGUGUGUGACUGGCGUUUACCAUAGGCCCUUGGUUUUGUGCACGAGUGGUGAACUAAUUUAUUCUCAACUAGUAAGCCGGCCCGGCUGGCCUAGCUCGGUGAACCCCUUUUAUCCUGUGGCAGCCAACCCCGUUCCAAUGAGCAUUACUGUUUUUAUCCCAGCGGCGCAGGGUUUUUACUGUUGACUUAAAUUGUAUUAAUAAAGAAAAGAUUGUUAUUCCUUUAAACAAAGGUACGUCUCUUGUGCAUUCUAUCCGAACCUGUUGUGCCUUAUUGGUUGAAAUCAAAAUAUAUUCUGGGGUGGCAGUCCCCCAGUGGCGUAGUCGUGCAAUUACAA